rnacentral:rRNA from 1 species
UGCAGUCGAACGAUGAAGCCUAGCUUGCUAGGUGGAUUAGUGGCGAACGGGUGAGUAACACGUGAGCAACCUGCCCCGAACUUUGGGAUAAGCGCUGGAAACGGCGUCUAAUACCGAAUACGCACCAUGACGGCAUCGUCAAUGGUGGGAAAGAUUUUUCGGUUCGGGAGGGGCUCGCGGCCUAUCAGCUUGUUGGUGAGGUAAUGGCUCACCAAGGCGUCGACGGGUAGCCGGCCUGAGAGGGUGACCGGCCACACUGGGACUGAGACACGGCCCAGACUCCUACGGGAGGCAGCAGUGGGGAAUAUUGCACAAUGGGCGCAAGCCUGAUGCAGCAACGCCGCGUGAGGGAUGACGGCCUUCGGGUUGUAAACCUCUUUUAGUAGGGAAGAAGCGAAAGUGACGGUACCUGCAGAAAAAGCACCGGCUAACUACGUGCCAGCAGCCGCGGUAAUACGUAGGGUGCAAGCGUUAUCCGGAAUUAUUGGGCGUAAAGAGCUCGUAGGCGGUUUGUCGCGUCUGCUGUGAAAACUAGAGGCUCAACCUCUAGCUUGCAGUGGGUACGGGCAGACUAGAGUGCGGUAGGGGAGAUUGGAAUUCCUGGUGUAGCGGUGGAAUGCGCAGAUAUCAGGAGGAACACCGAUGGCGAAGGCAGAUCUCUGGGCCGUAACUGACGCUGAGGAGCGAAAGAGUGGGGAGCAAACAGGCUUAGAUACCCUGGUAGUCCACUCCGUAAACGUUGGGAACUAGUUGUGGGGGCCUUUCUACGGUCUCCGUGACGCAGCUAACGCAUUAAGUUCCCCGCCUGGGGAGUACGGCCGCAAGGCUAAAACUCAAAGGAAUUGACGGGGACCCGCACAAGCGGCGGAGCAUGCGGAUUAAUUCGAUGCAACGCGAA